GGGAAAUUUAGUCGGGCAGUAUAAAAAAGCGAUCAUCUUGUUGGGUCUAGGGUUUGGGGCAAACACAAAAACUCAGACAACAAAGAAAUGAGGCAACAGAGGGAAGGCAUGUUUGUGAAGGGUGGUUAAUCCCCCUCAGUCGCCUAUGAUUUUCGAUUUUGCCCCUUCUUUUUAACCGCCCUUCAGCUUUUAGAUCUACAUCUAUACAUAUAUAUAUAGGGAGGUUCAGAAAAUGCAUACAAAUCCACCCUGAAGUUAUGAUUUCUCUGUGUUUGUAACUUAGGGGGUGUUUGGCCUAGCUUUUUUAACAAAGCUUUUUUUAGCUUUUUUUUUUUUUUUUUUUUUACUCUGUUGGGGGUGUUUGGUAUUGCUUAUUUUACUCCAAAAGUGAUUAUAAUAAAAAGGGGCGAUGAUGAUGAAUGUCUAGUUGUCUGAGUGAAUCGGUGGCUGAGAUAUACCAAAUCUUGGCGGGGCAAUUUUCCGGCGGUGGAUACAUUAGAUGCCGCUGUGAUUAUUGCAGCCAUGGAGGUUUAAUCCUUUUUCUAUCGGUUCUUUUUACAGAUUUGAGCCUCAUUUAAAAAAAAUCCAUUUUUUUCUUGAUUACUCACGGAUCUGAGUCUUCUUGACCCUGUUGCUUUAUAUUGUUUCUGUUCUAUUCUGUUGACAUUUUUUAAUCUAUUGUGUUUGUAUUUCAUGGGUAUGUAGCAACAUUGCAACAAACUCUAAUGAUUUGUGCAGUAUGACUAUAGACAGUUAGGAUCGUUUACAGCUCACGGACUUAAAUGGAUAGGUAAUUGACCGGAGUAGACUUGGACCGUUAACUGAUGAGUGCCUGGUCUUUGACCUUUUGGUUAUGGUGAUGGGUUUGACAACUGCUGGACCGCGGCUGCAAUAAUGGGUUGAAAUCGCACGGCUGCCAUGUAAGGGUCUCAUGUAGGAAGGUUGAGGGGUUAGUUUGAUGAGUGAAGAUGGAUGGAUUUAUAGCCAUGUCGGCCGCUUUUUUUCUAAACUUAACGAGUAGUAGGCUUGGGACAAGAGAUUGCCUUCUGGAAGGAUUGCUGGAUUCUUGAAGUGCCCCUGUGUGUUAAAUUCCCAGCAUUAUUCUCUUUGGAACAAAAGAAAAAUGUUGUAAUCUCAGAUAGGAUUAAGCGUGUAAACAGGCUGUGCAAUUUGGAUUUUUGAUGGACUCGUGUGCCGGCUUGAUCGGAUGAAAUAAGGGAGCUACAACAGUUGUCGGCCUCCAUCUCUUCUGUUUUGCUCUCGGAUAGAAGGGACGGUUGGACCUGGGCUCUUUGUCCAAUCGGGUUGUUUUCGGUUAAAAGUCUGAGGUCCCAAAUGUAUUCAGUUGGUGCAGCAGGGGUUAGGUCCACUUUUGUGUGGAAUAGAUGGACUCCCCUUAAAGUUAAUUUUUUGUCUUGGAGGCACCACUUGGAUAGAUUCCCCACGAAGGCAGCUUUGGCAAGAAGAUGGAUAACCGAUGCAGCAUGUGGGACGUGUUGGAUGAGACUUUGGACCAUUUGUUUGUGGAAUCUUAGUUUGCGCAGCAACUUUGGGACCGAGUGUCUCAUUGGUGCAGGCUCCCACCAUGCUUAUUUUUUGGAGCUAAGGACGUAUUAGAGCUUCAGGAGCAUAGUUGUGGAUCGGAGAAGUGGAAGAAGGCCCUGUACACAGUUAUACAAACUGCGAUUUGGAGCAUUUGGAAGGCACGCAAUGAUGUGAUUAUCAACCGAAAACGGUCGACAAUGGAUACCGUCUUUGAAGAAAUAAGAGUUCUAUCCUUCCUGUUGUCGAGAAAUCGCGCAAAGGUACCCGCUUUGACAUGGAACGACCGGAAGGAUUUCAACCUAGCUUGUAUUGGUGUAUGAACUUAACUCUUGGUGGCUGUAACCAUUUAGGCUAACAGUUGUUGGCCUUGUUAAAAUCAAUAAAAUUGUUUGUUGGCCUUUCAAAGAAAACGAGUAGUAGACAAACCAAUAAUAUAUUGAACGACAAACUUUGACAA